UACGUAGGGUGCAAGCGUUGUCCGGAAUUAUUGGGCGUAAAGAGCUCGUAGGCGGUUUGUCGCGUCUGCUGUGAAAACUCGGGGCUUAACUCCGGGCCUGCAGUGGGUACGGGCAGACUAGAGUGCGGUAGGGGAGACUGGAAUUCCCGGUGUAGCGGUGAAAUGCGCAGAUAUCGGGAGGAAUACCUAUGGCGAAGGCAGCUCGCUGGGACGUUACUGGCGCUGAGACGCGAAAGCGUGGGGAGCAAACAGG
rnacentral:rRNA from 1 species